CUUCAGGACAGUGACUCCCUGGAACAUCUCACUGGGGGAGUGGGGGGAAGGACGCCCCCUGUAGCCAUCACCUUUCAGAGCAGCAGUCUGGGAAAUAUGCACAACAUCAACACUCUGACAUGAUGGGCUGAGACACACAAUGGAAAACCCAACAGAGGCAGGACACAAACAGACAUGAGAGAGUUCCUUUGUGUAGAGAGAUAACUCACAUUGGAGAGGUGCUGCAGCUCCCUGCAGUCAUCGUCAGUGAUCACCCCAUCCAGCAGCACCCGCUGAGAGCCGUUCAGCUGGGCGGACGUCAUGGUCACCUUGAUGUCAUCAUAUGUUGGAGCGCCACCUAGAGGAGAAAGCACGGCAUGAAAUGAGAAGAAGGUGAUGGAUAACAAAUGGUUUAUUCACUCACUGGAUCUACAAAGGUGAUUCCAAAGGCUUCAUA